ACGCCAACCAGUGUUGAAAAGUGCCAGGACCGUGUGGAAUGCUUCAAUGCUGAUCUGAAGGCAGACUGGGAUCGGUGGCAAAGCAACAAAAGACAGGACUUUCGACAGCUGUUGAUGGGAAUGGCAGACAAGAACAUCCAGUAUUAUGAGAAGUGCCUUGCAGCAUGGGAGUCGGUUAUUCCUCUCCUACAAGAGAAGCCAGAAGUUACAAGUGAAGGCCACUCAUAGCUUCUGCUUUCAUGUUGCCCACUGGCUGUUUUCCCAGUUCACAGUACUGGAAUAUUGCACUUUGGGGGAGUUGGGAGGAAACAACGUCAAAUAGACAGUUUCACGUCAAUAGCACGUUGUACAAGGACUGUCUGCAGAAGGUGUGCUCUGUUCAGUGAAGGAUUUGUUUGUUUCAUCUGCAUGUUGUCUAAUAGCUCACUUUCAGCAGUCUGAGUACUGGCCACUUAAUGCUGAACAUUAUAAUGGCAAUCUUUUGCCUGAUUGACAUGGUUGGUUGUGUUCCUUCCAUGUAUUGUAGUUUUUUUAAAACUUGUUACACUUAAACAGUCUUGGACACUUCUUGAAAUACUUUUGAUUCCUUGAAGCAUCCUAUUUAACCAGUUGAGUGCACUUGGAUGUGGAGGGGUUUUUCAAUUGAAGGGUUUGGUGAGAUUGGAACAAGCCUGUAAUGGAGGAAAGCUUGAAGCAUUGAUUUAGUGAUUGAAGAUACUAAUGCCUCAGACACAAGGGAAGAAAAUGAAGUACACUUGAGAUGUAAAUUCGUUUCUAUUUAAUUGUCUUUAUAGUAGUCACACUCAAUGUUUUCAAGUCUUUGUUCCCUUGUGCAUGUUAGACACUAUGAUAGCAGAGUGGUAAAUAAUCCAGUGAGUCCAUUGUAGCACAGUAUUGGUGAAACCUUUUCUGACCAGCAUUAAUUGAAUAUUGACUGCAUUCCUUAAAAAACACAAGUGAAUCAAUUUAGAGUACUGUAUCCUCCACCCAUAAUGACACCAUUGUCUAAUUUGUGUAUUUUCCUAUUCCUGAAUUUUGCCAAGUUUUUAUUUUCACUUUUUGUAAAAUUUGACACCCUUAAUGUGCUUUAUGUAAUGUGUUUAGUCUGUAAAAAUGAAGUCAGUUUAUAAAAUCAUGUCCUUUUGAUAAAUGCUUUCAGGGCAAGGCAAGAAGAAAUCCUAUCACUUGCUUGUCCUUUUCUUGUUGAGACCUGUUUGUAUGUGAAUUAAGUGAGUAUUCCAGAUAUUUAAAGAUAAGAUAUUAUUAGCUAUCAGAUCACCCAGGGAACAAACAGUUACUGAAUUGAGUGUAUACAAAGUGCCUUUGUUGCAUGCAACCUUUUGUAUAAGCUAACAUUUUUGUGUUUAUUUUGGGCUAAAUUUUGAGCAACCUUAGCUGCUUUGUUUCCGUGACUGCAGUACACUAAACUCCUGAAUAGGAAAAGUUGCCAAUUUGCAUGGUUAUAUUGCUGCUUUUGUGCCUGCUGUAAGUGUUUGUUUGUUUAUUUUUUCCCAUUUAAGCCUUUUUGAGUAUAAUACCUCUUUUAAAUGAACAAGAAUAUCAUUAAACAAUUUUAAAAAGGAAAUCCUUUAUUUUGCUCUUGAAGACAUCAAGCAGAAUUAAGACUAAUGGUAGAGUUGAGGAGGGGGUGGUGAACACAUUUAAUCUUGCCCUGAUGUAGUUGUGCAUUGAUAUCUUAGUCAGAAGACUAAGUAGGCAUCUGAUAAUUCUCUAGCUUGGUUAGUUGCAUUCCGCAGUAGAAAUGUCAAAAACAUAAUCUGCAAAAUUAAAGCUAGCAAAAAAGAUAAUUUAAAUUAUUCUUUUUGCCCAGGCAAUUUCUAAAAUGGGUAAAGUUGAGUUGUGUGCUUUUCUUUGAACAGUUCAAUGCAUUAAAAUGAAUGCCAAAGUAUUUGGGGGCCAUUCCACCAGUUCCUGCUGCUUUUUUUGAGGUGUUAAUAUCAUGAUCGGAUUUGUCUUCAAUUUACUGGUCUGAUUUUAAAUUGAAAUUAUUUCCUCAAAUUGGUGUGUUUUAUCCAAUUCCAUGCAUAAGGUCUCCUGUCCAAACCCCUCUGCCUACCUGACCACCACCACCAACCUUGUAGAGUUGGCUGGGGAAGAUAAUGCACUUUAAAAGCAUCAAAUAAUAUUCAUGAUUGGGGGAAGGAAUUUUUAUUCAGAUGAGUGUCUGUCUGAAUGUCUUCACGGUGACUGUUUUGGUGGCAGAUUUGUAAAUCAUGUACUAAUCUAGUAAGUGUUUUAACUUUCUUCUGAACCUGAAAAUGGAUUACUUUGUAUUACAUGGUGUAAUUUUACUUCAUGCCAAAACUUUAAUACAUACAUACACUCAAAAGUUAUUAAUUUUCUGAAGAUGCCCAGGUAGGCAAUGUGAUCAAGUAAAAAAAACAUUUCAGUAAGUUAGUGUGGAGCAAAUAAAACACUGGAAGCCAUUUGAAAAUGGCAUAAGCAGUAUGGACAAGUAGCAUUUGCACAUGGUGCUCUGAAAUAUUCCUUCUCGGUGGGUUUUGUCUGCUGCUGACUUCUGGAAUGUGCUAAGGUUGUAACUAAAACUGUAAUGCCCUAAAUUACUACUGGGGUUGGGUUGCCAAGGUACAUUUGUCUGUCAAAGAACAAAUUCCAGUGCAGUGUUCAAUACUGGCAGGCUUGCAUUGUGUACAGCCCACUAACCAGUGACUAAAACUUUAACUUGUUGGCACAAAUCGUGAGGAAAAGUUCUUGUUUCAAGGUAUUAAAAUGUAUCUAUGCAUUCAGAGACCUCCUGUAUUCUGGAUUAUUACAGUUUUUUUUAAACGUGGCAUUCAAUAUUUUAACAGCAUCUGUAUUGAAACUUCUAAUUGAUCUUGGGUUAAUUGAAGUGAUUGCAAUCCUCUCUUUUGAGGACAGGUGAUUUGUUUACUGUGAAUCAGAGCAUGAAGUUUUGAAACAAAUCAUGAAGGAGUCAACUUAGUAAAAUCAAUAUGGAUUAUGGAAUAUUGUACCCUUUCCCUAACACCAGUUUUUGGUGCUGUGCUAAUGCCAACAGUUCUUGCAAUCCAUAUUGUACCUGUGGAUUUUUUUGAACACCAUUGAAUAAACUUGGGUAUACUGUUUGCAUUCAAAA